UACGGAGGGUGCAAGCGUUAUCCGGAUUCACUGGGUCUAAAGGGUGCGUAGGCGGGUUGGUAAGUCCGUGGUGAAAUCUCCAAGCUUAACUUGGAAACUGCCGUGGAUACUAUCAAUCUUGAAUAUCGUGGAGGUAAGCGGAAUAUGUCAUGUAGCGGUGAAAUGCUUAGAUAUGACAUAGAACACCAAUUGCGUAGGCAGCUUACUACACGAUCAUUGACGCUGAGGCACGAAAGCGUGGGGAGCAAACAGG
rnacentral:rRNA from 1 species